rnacentral:rRNA from 1 species
UACAGAGGUGGCAAGCGUUGUUCGGAAUUACUGGGCGUAAAGGGCGCGUAGGCGGUUCGUUAAGUCCUGUGUGAAAUCCCCCGGCUCAACUGGGGAGGGUCACGCGAUACUGAUCGACUCGAAGGCAGGAGAGGGUAGUGGAAUUCCCGGUGUAGUGGUGAAAUGCGUAGAUAUCGGGAGGAACACCAGUGGCGAAGGCGACUACCUGGCCUGUUUCUUGACGCUGAGGCGCGAAAGCUAGGGGAGCAAACGGG